rnacentral:rRNA from 1 species
UACGUAGGGUGCGAGCGUUGCCCGGAUUUAUUGGGCGUAAAGGGCGCGUAGGCGGCCACGCACGUCCGUUGUGAAAUCGCCCGGCUCAACUGGGCGGGGUCAGCGGAUACGGCGCGGCUGGAGCAAGCUAGGGGGCAAUGGAAUUCCCGGUGUAGUGGUGGAAUGCGUAGAUAUCGGGAGGAACACCAGUGGCGAAGGCGGUUGCCUGGAGCUUUGCUGACGCUGAUGCGCGAAAGCGUGGGGAGCGAUCUGG